GCCGCGUGAAUGAAGAAGGCCUUCGGGUUGUAAAAUUCUUUUCGGGGGGAAGAGGAAGGACGGUACCCUCGGAAUAAGCGUCGGCUAACUACGUGCCAGCAGCCGCGGUAAGACGUAGGACGCAAGCGUUAUCCGGAUUUACUGGGCGUAAAGCGUCUGUAGGCGGAAAGACAAGUUGGGCGUGAAAGCUCCGGGCUCAACCCGGAGAGUGCGUUCAAUACUGUUUAUCUAGAGGAGGUCAGAGGGGAGUGGAAUUUCAGGUGUAGCGGUAAAAUGCGCAGAUAUCUGAAGGAACACCAGUGGCGAAGGCGGCUCCCUGGGGCCCACCUGACGCUGAGAGACGAAAGCUAGGGGAGCAAACAGGAUUAGAGACCCUGGUAGUCCUAGCCAUAAACGAUGGAUGCUAGGUGUGGGACCGAGAAGGUUCUGUGCCGGAGCAAACGCGAUAAGCAUCCCGCCUGGGGAGUACGACCGCAAGGUUAAAACUCAAACGAAUUUGCGGGGCCCCGCACAAGCAGCGGAGCGUGUGGUUUAAUU
rnacentral:rRNA from 1 species